GGCGGACGGGUGAGUAAUAUAUAGGUAAUGUGCCUUGAAGAAGGGGAUAACAGUUGGAAACGACUGCUAAGACCCUAUAUGCCUUUAAAACAAAAGUUUGCAAGGGAAAUAUUUAUAGCUUCAAGAUCGGCCUGUACAGUAUCAGUUAGUUGGUGAGGUAAUGGCUCACCAAGACAAUGACGCUUAACUGGUUUGAGAGGAUGAUCAGUCACACUGGAACUGAGACACGGUCCAGACUCCUACGGGAGGCAGCAGUGGGGAAUAUUGCACAAUGGGGGAAACCCUGAUGCAGCAACGCCGCGUGGAGGAUGACACAUUUCGGUGCGUAAACUCCUUUUAUAUAGGAAGAUAAUGACGGUACUAUAUGAAUAAGCGCCGGCUAACUCCGUGCCAGCAGCCGCGGUAAUACGGAGGGCGCAAGCGUUACUCGGAAUCACUGGGCGUAAAGAGCGUGUAGGCGGAUAGAUAAGUUGGGAGUGAAAUCCUAUGGCUCAACCAUAGAACUGCUUCCAAAACUGUCUAUCUAGAGUAUGGGAGAGGUAGAUGGAAUUUCUGGUGUAGGGGUAAAAUCCGUAGAGAUCAGAAGGAAUACCGAUUGCGAAGGCGAUCUACUGGAACAUUACUGACGCUGAGACGCGAAAGCGUGGGGAGCAAACAGGAUUAGAUACCCUGGUAGUCCACGCCCUAAACGAUGUACACUAGUUGUUGUGAGGCUAGACCUUGCAGUAAUGCAGUUAACACAUUAAGUGUACC
rnacentral:rRNA from 1 species